UUAUAAUACACAUCACAUAGAAAAUAAAAGGUAAUAUUUAAACUAUUAGGGGAGUUCAUAUUUCACUGCCAAUAUAUUUUAUUUUGAAAAUACUACAUUGAAUCAGCUUUCUUUUUGAAUAACCUUUGUUGCCUUGGAUGUGACAGACAUACAUUCCUACUCUUAUACAAAGUACAGUUCAUUUAUUUAUUAAAAUAAAUAUUUAUGUUUACUGGGGCUCUAUUAUGUGCCAGGAUCUAUUCUGGGUCUUUGGGAUCAGGUAGGGUAUAAAUAGACAAAUUCUUAUGCUCAGAGAGCUUAUAUGGUAGACACAAACAGUAAAUAAAUGAAUAAAUUAAAAAUGAAUAUAUAAUAAGCAAUGUGGCAAUUAAUAUUAUUUUGCAUAAUUAGUUUAAAAAUAAAUUUAAAAUACCUAUUUUACAAGGUACAUGCAUUUUAGGGAUAAAUCAAACACCUAGUGUUUUGUGGAAUCAGCAAUUAUGGGAAAAAUAGAAGGCUUUGUAAAGACUGAGGAAAAUAAUGUAUAGAAGAAUAUAACAUAAAAUACAGGGGAGUGUGAUUAAAGCCUACGCUUUAAAGAAAACAAAUAAAAUACAUAAAAAUCAUAGUAAUAUAGAGCACAUGCCAAUGAAAGAGCUCUGAUUAAAAGUAUGUAGUUUUAAUAGAGGAGACUAUCACAGAUGUAAAAAUAAAGUAAAAUUGACUUCUGACUCCAUAAAAACAAUACACAAUGGAUUGGAGGAAAAAAUUAAGGCACUUAAAAGAAAUGGGUUAAAGUUUAGUUAGAUCAGACAUUUUACAAAAUAAAAAUCUAAAUCUAGCUAAAGAAAAGUCAGGCAUAAAAUAGUUGGUCAGUAGUGGAGAAUGAAAGGAAGUCCCUAGGAUCAGUGAGAAGCGAUAUUCAUCCAACAGAUUUCAAGUCUUGUCCCAUUGGAAAAGUUAUCCUUAAUGUAGAGAGAGAGAUGAGUCUGGAAUUCCUAUUAGCCUGAUACCACUAAGUAUACUAUUCAUAUAAAUAACUCCCUUGAGUUCCCCUUCUGAUGAGAAUGAGAAGCUGGGCAUCUAGGUCACUUGUAUAGAAAGAAAGAAUGGAUUGAGCAGAGGAGUCAAGUGGCUGCUCUCUCUAUUGACCAUUUUGCUUCUCAUUGUAAAGCAUAGAGCUCUGCUUCAUAAUGGUAUGUGAGUGGGUUU
rnacentral:lncRNA from 1 species